GACGAACGCUGGCGGCGUGCUUAACACAUGCAAGUCGAACGGGAGUACUUUGAAAGCUUGCUGAUAAGUACUUUAGUGGCGGACGGGUGAGUAACGCGUGAGGAGCUGUCUUAUGCAGGGGGACAACAGUUGGAAACGGCUGCUAAUACCCCAUAAGCCGAGAGGUAAAAGGAGCAAUCCGGCAGAGGAGGUACUCGCGUCCUAUCAGCUAGUAGGUUGGGUAACGGCCGACCUAGGCGAAGACGGGUAGCCGGCCUGAGAGGGCGAACGGCCACACUGGAACUGAGAUACGGUCCAGACUCCUACGGGAGGCAGCAGUGGGGAAUAUUGGGCAAUGGGGGGAACCCUGACCCAGCGACGCCGCGUGGGUGAAGAAAUCCUUCGGGAUGUAAAGCCCUGUUGUAUGGGAAGAGCAGAAGACGGUACCAUACGAGGAAGCCCCGGCAAACUACGUG
rnacentral:rRNA from 2 species